GGAAAGAGAUCAACUGUGGUUUAGUACCAAGGGGUUGUUAAGGAAUUGGCAAUGAACUGAAAGUGGGAACAGGUUUUAUGGUCCUAAUUGUGUCCCUGAGACCAUUUUCUUAAAAUCUGGGAUGCCUAAAUUGGCAGCAACUUUGGAUCUCAUCAGUGAUGGAGUGAGGAACGCGGACAAGCCAUGAAACCUGUGAAGUAUUUCCAGUUUGUUUGGAGAGGGACCUUGACAGCCUUAUUUCACUGAGCCCAGCUGCUUCUACAUUUGUUUUUCCUUCUGUGUGGUGAGUUAG
rnacentral:lncRNA from 1 species